GUGAAUCAUCGAAUUUUUGAACGCAAAUUGCACUCUCUUCUGUGAGGGAGCCUGUGUGAGUUUCAGCCUAUAAAAAAUCGACAUCGUUCCUGUUUCGCGGUGGCUUUCGUCUGAACUUGGGUCAUCCUAACUCUUUUUUAUUUAAGCGACUUAAAAUUUUCUUUUGUUUCCAUGAACGUGUCUUUUUUCUAUUUCUGUACACGUUUAAGUUAUAGAUUUUUACUAGACGUAACCAUCCUAUCGG
rnacentral:misc_RNA from 1 species